ACACACACACACACCACCAGUCUUCACACCUCCAAACUCAGUAACAACACAGAGAUCAAUGGCUGCGCUGCAUGUGUGUGCACCUCUAUGAGCCUCCAGAGCUCUCUCUGUGUGUGUGUGCACCUCUAUGAGCCUCCAGAGCUGUGUGUGUGUGUGUGUGUGUGUGUACACCUCUAUGAGCCUCCAGAGCUCUGUGUGUGUGUGUGUGUGUGUGUGUGUGUGUGUGUGUGUGUGUGUGUGUGUGCACCUUUGAGCCUCCAGAGCUCUGUGUGUGUGUGUACACACCUAUGUGGCCAAAGUGCAGUGUUGCCGGAGGAGGGGGAGGGUGCUGGGUUACUGGAGAUCUCGGCCAGAACAAGCUGGAUGUAAAUCACUACAGAGUAGCUGUCAUCACGGGAUGGGUGAAGGACUAUUUGAAAAAGACACCUUCAACCUUUAACACUGUUCAUCCUGAAAAGUUCAGUUCUUUCCAUUACCGAGUAACAAUUUAUAGGGCAGUUUGGUCACACCUUGUGUCAAUAAGCUGAUCAAAUCUCUCCUUAGUAGACUUAGUACUAUUGUACUAUUUUCGUUGCAAUUUUUGAGAAUCCCUGCAGCAAAUUCAGUCACUUUUGGCCGCAACAAUCCCAACAAACCCUGGCGAGAUACUGGCAGGACUGUUCUAUGCUGUCAAAGAGUAAAGAAGACAAAACCAAAAACACAGGUUGAGGACAUUUUCCACAACAUUUAAUUUUGGACAUUACCAUAGCUAUAUGUAACCUCUGAGGACAAAGUUUCAACAUUUGAACAUUUAUGUUAUUUUUGCUUUUUCAAUUUGUAUUCAUUUAUGCUAGUACAUGUUUUGGUCCAGUAACAUUUUAGUGGUUUUUUUUUUUUUUUUCUUUAUUAAAAAAAAAAAAAAAAUCUCCCUUGAUGUACGUGGAUCAAUAAAUGUUAAACUAACAACACAUGCACAUCAUUCACCUGUUUAUAUCAGGGCAGGACAGGGUCAGAGACGGACAUGGGUACAGCAAUGAGGUUCCUUUUUUUUUCUUUUCUUUUUUUUCCUUUGUCACCUCAGUUUCAUCAGACACUCAUAACUAAUAAGGCUAUAUUACAGCUAGGAACCAAAAUGGCCGACAAUUCUGAUCUACAUACAGAGCACCAUAUAUACACCUAUAUUUACAGACCUUUCAGUUCAGAAGAAAACAAAAAAAAAUACUCAAGACGAUCAUUUUCUGUUACAGUCAAGUCAGCCAUCCCAAGGCUGAACAUGUUGGAAAUAUAAAAACAAAAGAAGUGUAUUUACAUAUAGCUGCAACUCAUAGCUUAUUGCCAAUGCCCUUAAAAUAGAUUUCAGGAUUCCCCCAACCACC
ensembl:lncRNA